AUGCCCAAGCGCACCAUGGGUGGGAGGGCCGACGCCGGGGCCGACUCCAUGGUGCACGAAGCAUCCAAGCGCCGGGCGAAGCUGCACAUGGAGAAACCCCUCCCCGCCAGUGAGGGGUCCAGCCAGCAGCAGGGCGGCCUUGACAUCGUCGACCACGUCCAGGCUCCGGUGCAGGUGUCACCUACGCCGGAGCGGGUGGCUCCUCCGCCGGAGCAGGUGACUCCUCCGCCACGCCAUCCUCCUCCUCCGCCACGCCAUCUGCCUCCUCUGUAG
rnacentral:rRNA from 1 species